GUCCCGGUAGUGCAAGGUAUAGCACGGGGCCCGGCUAGCACAAGUACGGGUUCGAGUCCCGUCCGAGUCA
rnacentral:tRNA from 1 species